rnacentral:rRNA from 1 species
CCUACGGGAGGCAGCAGUGGGGAAUUUUGGACAAUGGGGGCAACCCUGAUCCAGCAAUGCCGCGUGAGUGAAGAAGGCCUUCGGGUUGUAAAGCUCUUUUGUCAGGGAAGAAACGGUGCGGGCUAAUAUCCCGUGCUAAUGACGGUACCUGAAGAAUAAGCACCGGCUAACUACGUGCCAGCAGCCGCGGUAAUACGUAGGGUGCAAGCGUUAAUCGGAAUUACUGGGCGUAAAGCGUGCGCAGGCGGUUUUGUAAGACUGUCGUGAAAUCCCCGGGCUCAACCUGGGAAUGGCGAUGGUGACUGCAAGGCUAGAGUUUGGCAGAGGGGGGUAGAAUUCCACGUGUAGCAGUGAAAUGCGUAGAUAUGUGGAGGAACACCGAUGGCGAAGGCAGCCCCCUGGGUCAAAACUGACGCUCAUGCACGAAAGCGUGGGGAGCAAACAGGAUUAGAUACCCUGGUAGUCCCACGACCUAACCGACUAGUCUACUAGUUGUUCGGUUUAACGUUUAACGUUAGGUUAACGUACAGACUACGUACGUGAGUAGACCGCCGUCGGGAGGUACGGUCGCGAGAUAAACUACAAGAAGUAGUACGCGNGAGACGUGCGACGACGACGACGAGGGAGGAGG